rnacentral:rRNA from 1 species
AGGGUUUGAUUCUGGCUCAGGACGAACGCUGGCGGCGCGCCUAACACAUGCAAGUCGAACGGAGUCAAGAGGAGCUUGCUUUUCUUGACUUAGUGGCGAACGGGUGAGUAACGCGUGAGUAACCUGCCCUGGAGUGGGGGACAACAGUUGGAAACGACUGCUAAUACCGCAUAAGCCCACGGAUCCGCAUGGAUCUGCGGGAAAAGGAUUUAUUCGCUUCAGGAUGGACUCGCGUCCAAUUAGCUAGUUGGUGAGGUAACGGCCCACCAAGGCGACGAUUGGUAGCCGGACUGAGAGGUUGAACGGCCACAUUGGGACUGAGACACGGCCCAG